rnacentral:rRNA from 1 species
UACGUAGGGUGCAAGCGUUAAUCGGAAUUACUGGGCGUAAAGCGUGCGCAGGCGGUUGUGCAAGACCGAUGUGAAAUCCCCGGGCUUAACCUGGGAAUGGCAUUGGUGACUGCACGGCUAGAGUGUGUCAGAGGGGGGGUAGAAUUCACGUGUAGCAGUGAAAUGCGUAGAGAUGUGGAGGAAUACCGAUGGCGAAGGCAGCCCCCUGGGAUAACACUGACGCUCAUGCACGAAAGCGUGGGGAGCAAACAGG